UAAGUCCUACGGGGCGCAGCAGUGAGGAAUAUUUUUCAAUGUUAUAUAUCCUUAACCAUCCAAUCCUCUUUAGUGAAUACGUCCCUAUGGGUUGUAAACCUCUUUCGUCGUAGAACAAAACCCGGGACGUGUCCCGGACUGCGUGUAUCCGAAGAAAAAGCAUCGGCUAACUCCGUGCCAGCAGCCGCGGUAAUACGGAGGAUGCGAGCGUUAUCCGGAUUUAUUGGGUUUAAAGGGUGCGUAGGCGGUCCGUUAAGUCAGCGGUAAAAUUGCGGGGCUCAACCCCGUCGAGCCGUUGAA
rnacentral:rRNA from 1 species